rnacentral:rRNA from 1 species
UCAAGCUGUAAAGGGCGCAAGGGGAAUGCCUUGGCACUGAGAGCCGAUGAAGGACGCGACAAGCUGCGAAAAGCCACGGGGAGCCGCAAAUGGGCUUUGAUCCGUGGAUGUCCGAAUGGGGAAACCCGGCAGAGCAAUACUCUGUCAACGUGCACUGAAUCCAUAGGUGUACGUGGGGAACCGCCUGAACUGAAACAUCUAAGUAGGGCGAGGAAGAGAAAUCAACCGAGAUUCCGCUAGUAGUGGCGAGCGAACGCGGAAGAGGCCAAACCGAGGGUAGCAAUAUCCUCGGGGUUAGGACUGCAAUAUGCAGCUUUCAUUCUUAACUGAAUGCUUUGGGAAGAGCAACGAUACAGGGUGACAGUCCCGUAAGUGAAAAGGAUGGAGCGCUGGCAGUAUCCAGAGUACCAGCGGACACGUGAAACCCGCUGGGAAGACGGGGGGACCAUCCUCCAAGCCUAAAUACUACUCAGUGACCGAUAGUGGAGCAGUACCGUGAGGGAAAGGUGAAAAGUACCCCGGGAGGGGAGUGAAAAAGAACCUGAAACCUUGUGCCUACAAGCACCGAGAGCACGUUAAGGUGUGAUCGGGUACUUUUUGUAGAACGGUCCGGCGAGUUAAUAUUUGCAGCGAGGUUAAGGUACUGGAGUACCGGAGCCGCAGCGAGAGCGAGUCUGAACAGGGCGUAUGAAGUUGCAGGUAUUAGACCCGAAACCGGGUGACCUAUCCAUGAGCAGGCUGAAGCGGUGGUAAGACACCGUGGAGGGCCGCACCCACGUCUGUUGAAAAAGCCGGGGAUGACUUGUGGAUAGCGGAGAAAUUCCAAUCGAACUCGGAGAUAGCUGGUUCUCCCCGAAAUAGCUUUAGGGCUAGCGUUGACUUAGAUUACCGGAGGUAAAGCACUGAAUGGGCUAGGGGCCGCGAGGUUACCGAACCCUAUCAAACUCUGAAUGCCGGAUAAUUGAUGGUCAGCAGUCAGACUACGUGAGAUAAGUCUCGUGGUCAAAAGGGAAACAGCCCAGAUCUACAGCUAAGGUCCCAAAUUCAUGCUAAGUGGAAAAUGAUGUGAAACUGCGAAGACAACCAGGAUGUUGGCUUAGAAGCAGCCACUCAUUCAAAGAGUGCGUAAUAGCUCACUGGUCGAGUGGUUUUGCGCAGAAAAUGUAACGGGGCUAAGCAUGAAACCGAAGCUUAGGCAUUGCAGCAAUGCAUUGGGUAGGGGAGCGUUCUGUAAGGGGUGAAGUCAGAGCGUAAGCACUGGUGGACAUUACAGAAGUGAGAAUGCCGGAAUAAGUAGCGAGAAUUAUGUGAGAAUCAUAAUGGCCGAAAAUCUAAGGUUUCUUGGGGAAGGUUCGUCCGCCCAAGGUUAGUCGGGAGCUAAGGCGAGGCCGGAAGGCGUAGUCGAUGCACAUACGGUAGAAAUUCCGUAACCACCGAACUUUAAGCAUAAGGGACGCUUUCUUUAAGGUUAACCCGGGCGAUGGUUGCCCCGGGCGAAAGGGACCGAAAUAUAGUAGGGAAGUAACUGGCGAGAGAGACGAGAAAAGCUUAUGUGUAUACUAAGGUGCCCGUACCGCAAACCGACACAGGUAGAUGGGAUGAGUAUUCUAAGGCCAACGGGAGAAGGGUUGUUAAGGAACUCGGCAAAUUGGCCCCGUAACUUCGGGAUAAGGGGCGCCUGCGAGAGCAGGCCGCAGUGAAAAGGCCCAAGCGACUGUUUAGCAAAAACACAGCUCUCUGCUAAAUCGAAAGAUGACGUAUAGGGGGUGACGCCUGCCCGGUGCUGGAAGGUUAAGGGGAGUGCUUAGCUUUAGGCGAAGGUGCGAACUUAAGCCCCAGUAAACGGCGGCCGUAACUAUAACGGUCCUAAGGUAGCGAAAUUCCUUGUCAGGUAAGUUCUGACCCGC